rnacentral:rRNA from 1 species
AGCGAACGCUGGCGGCAGGCUUAACACAUGCAAGUCGAGCGCCCGUAGCAAUACGGGAGCGGCAGACGGGAGAGUAACACGUGGGAACGUACCCUUCAGUUCGGAACAACCAAGGGAAACUUUGGCUAAUACCGAAUACGUCCGUAAGGAGAAAGAUUUAUCGCUGAAGGAUCGGCCCGCGUCUGAUUAGCUAGUUGGUGAGGUAAUGGCUCACCAAGGCGACGAUCAGUAGCUGGUCUGAGAGGAUGAUCAGCCUCAUUGGGACUGAGACACGGCCCAAACUCCUACGGGAGGCAGCAGUGGGGAAUAUUGGACAAUGGGCGCAAGCC